rnacentral:rRNA from 1 species
UACGUAGGUGGCAAGCGUUGUCCGGAUUUGCUGGGCGUAAAGAGCGCGCAGGCGGUCGAAUAAGUCGAAUGUGAAAGCCCCCGGCUUAACUGGGGAGGGUCAUUCGAUACUGCUCGACUUGAAGGCAGGAGAGGGUAGUGGAAUUCCCGGUGUAGUGGUGAAAUGCGUAGAUAUCGGGAGGAACACCAGUGGCGAAGGCGACUACCUGGCCUGUUCUUGACGCUGAGGCGCGAAAGCUGGGGGAGCAAACGGG